ensembl:lncRNA
GAAUUCUUAUGGCUACAAAUACUGUAGUCCAUCUGUGUUACCAUAUGGAUUCUUUAUCUCCUGGAUUUUGAACAUGAUUUGCAACAUCGCAUGGCUUUUCCUAUGGGACAGAGAGUAAGUUACUUUACAACUGAACAAUAGAUGGAAGUAUCCUGGUAUUUUUCUGAUAAAACUGAAUGUAAUGUCGUUGUGUUUUAUGUUUCCUUUCUUUUAAGGGAGAUGAUUGCAGCACUUGUGUUUAUGGCAUUGAUAGCCCUGACAAACUACAUCAUGAUUUUCUUCUCCUGUCAUGGACUGAAAGUCUAUGGUGCUUGGCUAAACAAAUACCAGAAUCGUGACCUGUGGCUUAUCCGUGUUCUUGUCCAGAAUGGCAUCGGAAUCUACACAACAUGGAUUACACUUGCUCAUUUACACACUCAUCAACCUCGCCGUGGUGAUGGACUAUGAUGGACAGCUGUCUAAAGAGGAUGCUGGCACUGUGUGUCUCUCCAUCCUGCUCGUAGUAGUGGUCUUCUGGUUCCUUGUUGAGAACUCUGUGCUUGACAAAUAUGUUCGCUACAUCCUGACCAUCUACCCUGUGGUUAUUGUGGCUCUGACCGGAAACAUGACCAAGAACUACGACUCCGCAGCUCCCAGUCGCAAUGGGAUUUUUAUUGCCGUGCUGCUGGGUCUGGCGUGCCUGCUGUUUGUCCUGAGGGUCGUGUUAGUGUUGUGGAGGCACUUCAACAGGCCUUUCUACUCAGGCAUUGAUUCUGAAGAGGUCGUAUCACUGAGAGAGAUCGCUGAGAGGCAGAAAAAGAUAUUUAUCUAAGAAAAACACUUGCAUUCCAUGCCGUCGUAAGACUGAAAUGUGUCUGGGUAGCGACUAUUCAUGAGCAAGAUUUAUUUUUACACUCAGUUUUGUCAUUUGUAAAUUGUAAUUUGUACUAUAUAUACUAUAUGUAUAUUUGUGAAAAUAUAAAUUUUUGGUCUGAUUUACAUUUUUGUGUCGGUUUUUAUGUGAGCUGUUGUUAAAAUGUACCACAGUGUACAUAACACAGUUUAUGACAACCAAAUGAUUUGAUAUUUAAGUGUAUAUUUGCUCGUGGGUGUUGGUCAAAGCAUAAUCAUUUUUUAUGUAUAGUGCCGGCAAUAACACAGGUGAUUAAUGCUUCAUUUAAUUCUGGAACAUUCCCCUCUUCAUUUAAAGUGGCUCGGGUAACACCGCUGCUCAAGAAGCCGUCUCUCGAUCCCACUCAGGUGGGAAACUAUCGACCGGUCUCACUUCUCACGCUCCUAUCAAAAACCAUUGAGAGGGCAGCUUCCAAACAGGUCACAGAGUUCCUAGCAAGGAACAAUCUCCUCGAUCCAAACCAGUCUGGAUUCAAAAGUGGUCACUCCACCGAAACAGCCCUGUUGUCUGUGACAGAGGCCUUGAAAACAACUAGAGCAGCAGCUCAAUCCUCAGCUCUCGUCCUGCUUGAUUUAUCAGCUGCGUUUGAUACAGUCAACCACCGCAUCCUUCUGUCCAUACUGUCAAGUAUGGGCAUUUCUGGCAAGGCUCACUCCUGGUUUGAAUCGUACCUCACUGGGCGCUCGUUCAAUGUGUCAUGGCAAGGUCAGCUGUCUGUACCUCACCACCUUACCACAGGGGUGCCCCAAGGCUCGGUGAUGGGACCACUUCUCUUUGCCAUUUACACCACUUCGCUGGGCCCUAUCAUCCGCUCGCAUGGUUUUUCCUAUCAUUGCUAUGCCGAUGAUACUCAACUGUUUCUGUCUUUCCCUCCUGAGGACACCACUGUCUCGGCGCGGAUCUCGGACUGUCG